GCAGCAGAUCGUCUUAUCGCUUCACCUUGUGUGAAGAGGAAAGUCCGGACACCAAAGAGUAGUAUAGCGGAUAACAUCCGUCGGCAUGGCAACAUGUUAGGACCAGUGCAACAGAAAGCAAGUACAGUUAGGCUGUAGUGAAACCAGGUAAACUCUAUGCGGUGCAAUGUCACGUAUAUUGAAGUCCCGAAAGGGUAAGAGUUACUCGCUCAAUUUCAAGGGGUAGGCAGAUGGAACUAUUGAGUAAUUGAUAGUCUAGAUAAAUGAUAAGAAUUCGUUUUUUCGAAUACAGAAUCCGGCUUAUAGAUCUGCUUUUUUU
rfam:Bacteroidetes bacterium MedPE-SWsnd-G1 Bacteroidetes-MedPE-SWsnd-G1-C4, whole genome shotgun sequence.